UACGUAGGGUGCAAGCGUUGUCCGGAAUUAUUGGGCGUAAAGAGCUCGUAGGCGGUUUGUCGCGUCUGCCGUGAAAGUCCGGGGCUCAACCCCGGAUCUGCGGUGGGUACGGGCAGACUUGAGUGCAGUAGGGGAGACUGGAAUUCCUGGUGUAGCGGUGAAAUGCGCAGAUAUCAGGAGGAACACCGAUGGCGAAGGCAGGUCUCUGGGCUGUAACUGACGCUGAGGAGCGAAAGCAUGGGGAGCGAACAGG
rnacentral:rRNA from 1 species